rnacentral:misc_RNA from 1 species
CAGCCCCGCAGAGCGUCCGAUUCGUGCCAUUCCGUCCCGUUGAGCCCGUCAGG